rfam:Sus scrofa isolate TJ Tabasco breed Duroc chromosome 1, whole genome shotgun sequence.
UCCCUGGUGGUCUAGUGGUUAAGGAUUCAGCAUUGUCACUGCUGUGGUUCAGGUUCGAUUCUUGGCCUGGGAA